rnacentral:rRNA from 1 species
AUUGAACGCUGGCGGCAGGCCUAACACAUGCAAGUCGAGCGGAUGAGUGGAGCUUGCUCCAUGAUUCAGCGGCGGACGGGUGAGUAAUGCCUAGGAAUCUGCCUGGUAGUGGGGGACAACGUUUCGAAAGGAACGCUAAUACCGCAUACGUCCUACGGGAGAAAGUGGGGGAUCUUCGGACCUCACGCUAUCAGAUGAGCCUAGGUCGGAUUAGCUAGUUGGUGAGGUAAAGGCUCACCAAGGCGACGAUCCGUAACUGGUCUGAGAGGAUGAUCAGUCACACUGGAACUGAGACACGGUCCAGACUCCUACGGGAGGCGGCAGUGGGGAAUAUUGGACAAUGGGCGAAAGCCUGAUCCAGCCAUGCCGCGUGUGUGAAGAAGGUCUUCGGAUUGUAAAGCACUUUAAGUUGGGAGGAAGGGCAGUAAGUUAAUACCUUGCUGUUUUGACGUUACCAACAGAAUAAGCACCGGCUAACUUCGUG